GAGGUGGUGGUGAAUUCCGUGGCUGUGGAUGUUGUGGUGGUGGAUGUGGACACGGAGGUGGAAGAUGUGAGGAGGAGGAAGUGGUGGUGGAUGUCGUGGUGGUGGAUAUUGUGGUGGUGGAUGUGGAUCCGGAGGUGGAAGACGUGAGGAGGAGGAAAUAGUGGUGGAUGUCGUGUUGGUGGAUGUGGAUACAGAGGCGAAAGACGUGAGGAGAAGAAGGUGACGGAGGAUAUAGUGGCAGUGAAAACAAAAAUUGAUAAUACAAGAAGUGAAAAAAUUAGUUUAUAUAGUAUGUCCACAAUUCUACCAAC
rnacentral:lncRNA from 1 species